UUAGCUGUCACUUAUAGAUGGGCCCGCGGCGCAUUAGCUAGUUGGUGAGGUAAUGGCUCACCAAGGCGACGAUGCGUAGCCGACCUGAGAGGGUGAUCGGCCACACUGGGACUGAGACACGGCCCAGACUCCUACGGGAGGCAGCAGUAGGGAAUCUUCCGCAAUGGACGAAAGUCUGACGGAGCAACGCCGCGUGAACGAAGAAGGCCUUCGGGUCGUAAAGUUCUGUUGUUAGGGAAGAACAAGUACCAGAG
rnacentral:rRNA from 1 species